GCAACAUUUUGACUUCUCAUACUUUCUGCUAAACAAAGACAUUAGUAUCUCUGCUAUUACCAUUAAUCUUGGUACAAUUCCUUACAUUAAAAUCAUUAGUCUUAUCCCACUCAUUGAUGCAAGGAACCACUCAGUUUAUCUUUUAACAAAUAAGACUAAGAGUCCUCUUUACAAAGCAUAUUUAAACAUUAGUAUUAGAUCAUCCCCAAGGGUAUGUUGUUAUCUUCCAUCUUUACCUGAUUUCUUCACUUUGCCCAAGUGAUGUCCUUUGGUAGCCCAAGCACAAUUUUCUCAUCUUGAUAAUAAAAACGAGAGAAGAGCCAACAGGUUAAAAAAAAAACAAACAACAUAGUUUAAAUCAUGCUUGCUUCCACGGCGUGGAACAAAUAUUUGAAUGCAUAUCCUAGAUCAUUGCAUAUUUACCAAGCUACUGAAUAUUCUAGUGUCCUGUGGGAUCUGUUCCACAUUCUAUAAAUCAAUGUUUAUUGGACUAGAAGGGGAGAGAGAGAGAACUUAACUGUUCCUGUGGAGGCCAUCUGCACACAUUCUGCAGGUUCAUUUGUAAAAGCAGCUACAAGAGCCAUAAUUUUGGAAAGUAUCUAAAGAAAGUAGGUACAUAUAUAAAGGGGAAAAAAAUUAUGAAGCCUGAUGUUUACACCAGCAUCAGAAUGGAAGACAACAUAAAAGGCAGGAAUAAAACUUUAUUCAACAUAAAAAACAGAAAUGUUCAAAUGUUACAACUUCCAGCAAGAAAAUGAUUGAUGCAUUUUAUAUUUUUUAUCUCAGAUGCUGGGGAUACAAUUGAUCCCACCAAAGCAGUAAGAAAUCAUGGUACUGACUGAUAUGAGGAUGACCAGUCCUUCACUUCUUACACUUGUUGAUUCUGGAGGCCUGAAGCCAGAAAAAAAUGAUCAGCAGCAUCACGUGUGGUGGGAAGAUUUACCUUAAAAGCAGCAUUUCAGUACUGGGAUGAAGAGCAAUCAGGCUGCAAAAACUAGGAGAUUAUUUUCUGAGAAAGCUGUACACAUGGCAGGCUAAAGCAAUGCUCAGAAGGGCUUAAAAAUGCUCAUGUUGAAACAAUGAGCAUGAAAAUGGGACCAGCAGGAAGUUUGUGUUUGUCUAAUGAGCUGGGUUUAUUUAGCCCAUCCAAGGACUACUGAGCACACUGGAGACAUUGUACAGAGGAAGACAGGAGAACUGGGAAAUGUCCAAAAUUAGCAUUUAAGAGAUACAUACCCUGGCAGAAUACUAAUAGUUGUAAAAUGAACAUUUAACAUAUGGAUAAAGUAAUUACUGGUUCAAGAGUUCCCAUUAGAGAUAUAAUAGGAAAUGUAAAUUAAUAUGAGAGCAAAUACUACGCUAUAGAAGUGAAUAAAUGUACCAAAGGAGAGCUGGAGGCUUGAUCCAAACUGCUGGAUCAUCCAACCAAACCAGCAUUAAGGCAGCUACGUGGAGCAUUUGCACAGCUAUCAAGCAUCCUGACCAAACUAAAGGCAGUGGCACUGCAGAUCCUGCCCACAGCAGAGCAAAGCUGAGCGGAUCCAAGGCCCUGGAGGAGGCACGUGGUGGCCACAGGGUGAGCAGCGGCUCCAUGGGGGUCAGCUGUGGUGUGGGAUACAUGGACACCAGGAGAGAGGGAGGAGAGAGCCAGUCUGAGACACAGGAAAGGAUCAAAAUGUCAGUUGCUGGAGAAAUGGAGAGGAUGGGAAUGGAAGUCAGUGGUUCCAGGUCUUGAUUCUGUGCCAAAGAGGAAAAGGCACUCAGAAGUGGCCAACUGGUGCCACCUUCACAACCACAACACGGUGCAGGGUCAGGGCCAGCAUUUGUGGAUGACAAACAGCAAAAUGGAGCAAUUUUGUGAGGAAAGCCUUGAUAUUUAACAAGAAUAACAUUUAUAUGAAAAUGACAGCAGGCAGCUCUUCUCAUUAUUUAUAAUGUAAAACAGUCCUUUAGUUGUUAUUUACACUGAUUAUUCAAUUAUUCCUUGAAUACAGUGGAAAAGGUAAAGAUGAAAUUAAGAUGUCUUCAAAGCGUUUAAAUAUUUUGAAUUUUCAUAUUAUAAAUAUAAAUCUUAUUGAUAUUUUAAAUGCAAACUUUAAUUGCAUUUUAAUUUUAAAUGCAAAUCUAUAUUUAGAUUAUUUUCUCAAUUUCUACCUCACAAAAAAAAAAUAACAAAAACAUUAUGGACAGUUUUACAUGUUAAGAGAAACUUCCUUCCUCGUGCAUGUGAUGGUAUGUUUUUAAAUGUAUAAUUUCUGUAGCCAUUAAACAAAAUUGACUUAUUACACCAAUAACAGAGUAACAUAAUAAUUUAAAAUGUGUUUAAAAAUUAUUUACAUUUAUAAAAAUGUAUUUAAGCUGCCAUUAUUCCCUCAAAGCUUGCCCGUGGAACAAACUGUGUGCUAUGGACAGUCCUGUUGAUUUUGAUAAGCCCUGUGCCGUGCACGUUUCCACUGCAGGAAAUUCAAAAGCAAACCUACAGCCCCUGUAAGGAACCAUGGAGUCUCUCCUCCUGUCCAUUCCUUUCCAAUGCUGAAACUGCUCCCAGUUCUCCUCCCAAGGCUUCCACGGUAUCGUUGGUGAGAUGUCACCUUUUAUUAGCAGGCUCGCUCUCGGAUACUCUAAUGCACAUUGAAAACACAAAAUGCACAUCAUCCAUCUUUCAUGUGACAGCUGCAUCCCACCUUCUGAACUUCCAAGCUCCUGGCACACCUGGGUCAAGGCUCUGCUAAUAAAAUGAUGCCGAGUGACAGGGGGAGAGGGAGUCAACUGACUACAAGCAUUUGAUAAACUGUUACCUGCAAUUUCUUGGGUUUGUUGCCUCGGGCAAACGCACCAAAGAGGAAACAAGUCACUGCAAGCCCCGUUUGUCCAACUGGGUGAGUGGAGAGGAGGAUGAAAGGCAAUAUACUCCUGUUACUUACAGCUUUAUGAUUUUAAUCCAUUUUGUCAGGGAAAUACCUUCUGGUCCGUCGAGUAAUGUGAUAAACUAUUCAAACAAAGGGAAGAAUUAAUGUUUCUGUACUGCUGCUAUGUUUGUUAAUGUGAUUCUAUGAUUCUACUGUUUCAUGAGUUAUCAGAUGCACAGUGUUUCAGUUUAACCACUGAGGUUAUACUUGUAUCUAGAUACAGUCAUUUUUUAUAGUAAAUAAAUAAUAUAUUAAACACAGAAAACAAAUAAUUUGAUACAAUUAUUCAAAUUAUCUGAUGUAUACAUAUUAUUGACUCAUGAUAAUUGAGACUUAUUUUCUAAUAUUUUGAUAUAGACUUGUCUUAUUUUGAUUUGUUAGAUAAUUGCAAACUUUUAGAAGAGAAAUCUGUAGAUCCUUUGAAGUCAGACCUAUUUUAAGUCAACUGUUUUGGAAAACACUGUUCCAGCAUAGUGGUAGCCUAAUACAGUUCAGUCUGGUGAUGUAGAUGAGUGGAGCAUUUUCCCAAAACUUAAUUACAGUUCAGAAGUAUUGGAUGUUAUUAUGUACCUGGUGUGAGACUGAUGCUUGUUUUAAUUACUGCAGUGGUUACUGUGGUCAAAAUCCAUGUUUGCAAAGGCAAAGGAGAAAGAGCUUUUCAGAGUUUCCAGAAGAACCCACAGACCUGAAUUUUUAUGUGCAGCAGAAGACACAGAAAAAAAGGGAAACAAAAACCUGGCAUUGGAAAGGUUCAAGCGGGCUGACCAUAAAAAGAGGCAAACAUGCAUUUUCUUGUUUUGGUUCUUCCCUCAUCCCUGCACACAUCUACAUCUAUGCUUGGAUUUGUAUUUUGAGACUGCAAGGGGCAGAAGGCGAGAGAUUUAUUCCAACAUGCUGUGCCAAAUCCCCAGUACAGUGCUGAGCAACUGGGACUAGUCAGGCUGGGAAUUAAUUGGUUGCUAAAAACAAUAAAAGAUGGGAGUACUUUUACAAGACAUCUAACAUGCUGACUGUAUAAAAUUAGGCUGGAAUGACAUUAAUAAAGCAAGCUCUCAAGUGUCAAGAAUGAAAGAAGGUCAGACAUUCUGCACUGAGGAAAUCUAGAUCUCACCAGAGGGGACAUCCACUGUCGUUAUUCUGUUUUGUCUUCACAACAACUUUGUAGCCAGACAGGAAAAAAAAAAAAGCCAAGGGAUAUGCUUGAGAGUUGAAAGACUGAUUAGGG